GACGAACGCUGGCGGCGUGCUUAACACAUGCAAGUCGAACGGAAAGGCCCUGCUUUUGUGGGGUGCUCGAGUGGCGAACGGGUGAGUAACACGUGAGUAACCUGCCCUUGACUUUGGGAUAACUUCAGGAAACUGGGGCUAAUACCGGAUAGGAGCUCCUGCUGCAUGGUGGGGGUUGGAAAGUUUCGGCGGUUGGGGCUGGACUGGCGGCUUAUCAGCUUGUUGGUGGGGUAGUGGCUUACCAAGGCUUUGACGGGUAGCCGGCCUGAGAGGUUGAACGGCCACAUUGGGCCUGAGAUACGGCCCAGACUCCUACGGGAGGCAGCAGUGGGGAAUAUUGCACAAUGGGCGGAAGCCUGAUGCAGCAACGCCGCGUGCGGGAUGACGGCCUUCGGGUUGUAAACCGCUUUCGCCUGUGACGAAGCGUGAGUGACGGUAAUGGGUAAAGAAGCACCGGCUAACUACGUG
rnacentral:rRNA from 1 species